rnacentral:lncRNA from 1 species
AUGGUGAAGAGCAGCAGCAGCUCCUCCUGCGCACCGAAACCCAGGCCCUGCGCGGCGGGGAGGGCAGCCUGGCCGUUCUCCCCGGCGCCGUCCAUCACCACCACCACGUUGUUGUCGUCGUCUUCCUCCUCCUCCUCCUCCUCCACCGCCACCUCCUCGGCCGCCUCCUCGUCGGCGGCGGCGCCGGGCGGGGGCCGCCUGGCCGGGCAGCUCUGCAGGAUGGAGUCCACCUGGGGCAGCAGGCGGUGCAGGCGGCCGGCGGCCUCGCGGUUCUCGGAGCCCAGCAGGGCCAGAUAAAAUCAACCAUGACUAUCGCAGCAGAUAUACCAAGCUGAAAUCAUGGAUUUGCUGAAACAUGACCAGAGGCUUCUGCUUUGAACGGCUGUUUGGUCUGAAUAGAAUUUGCAGGAUCAGAAUUAAAAUUGUAUGGGCGUUAGAAGUAACAUUUCUCAUAUUUUAACAAGAUGUGAUUUGAAUAAAAUGUGACAUAGUUCCAAACAGAUAACACCACAGAGAGGGGAAAAUGAAUUUAAUUUUGGUGGGAGGGAAGAAAGGAGAUGAGAGAAAGUCCACUGAGCCAUUCCUAAGUCCACAAAAGUAAGAAAAAUUGCACACGCAGGAGGGUAAUGGUCGAAAGUACACUCCCCAAGUCCAGAAAAUACUUGAGCAUGUGCCUACAUCCAUCCCAGUGUGAUAGUUCCCAAGCUGAUGCUAGGUGUCACAACUAAGCUUAAGAACCUGAUUAACUCAGCCCCUUCGUGUCUCCGCUUUUCUAAUGGUUUAAACUAUGAUAACUGAGGAAAACAGAUUAGAAAUACAGGGAAGAAAAAAAAAAAGGACAGGGAAUGGUGUGAGAAGGCAAAAGGAAGGCAAAGGUACCCCAAGUGGGGUUAAAAGUACUUCAGUAGCUCAGGGAGUUGGCAGCAAGAAGAAACAGGACAGUAUGGAACAAGAACUGAAACUCUGAGUAUCCAGAGGAAAUGAAAGUGAAACUCAGGGCUGGGAAUGGAAGAAGAAAGCAGCAGGGCAAUGCAUGAACGCUGCUGUGAUACACUGCCCUUGAGAUGUCCUAAUCUGAUUUUCUUAGCAGCAUGUUAGAGGAGAUGGGAGAAAGAACUGUGACUUCUGCGUGAUGCAUGCCACAGACUCGUAGGGAAACAAGGGCAAAUCAGUCAAAGCAGCUACACUCCAGCUGGUUAUGGUGCGGUACAUACGGAGCGAAUAGCCUAAUUAGAGCAGCAAGUAAAGAACCUCCAUAAAGGUUUGGAGCAGUUUUGCUCACUCAUGAUUUGCCAUUUAUCUUAGGAGAGUUGGUAGUUGUUUUUUUUUUUUGAGUAGCUUACCUUUUGUUUUUGUUACCUUUUGUGAAACAGGUGAACAUUACCUUUCAGUCAGGACUCUCUGGAAGAAAAAAGUCUUGAGAACACAACAAUUUGAAAUUCACUGAAAACAAAACCUGACAAAUCAAUAUGUUACUACAUUAAAAAAAAUCUUAUUGUUUUAAUGGUUUUUGAAUAUUUGAGCUCAUUUAUUCUUUCCUUUGUCCUCCUCUUUUUCGGGAUGAGCUGAACAAGCUUAUAUUCCUCUGUGCAGAUGGGGUCUAGUGGCUCUAGUGUCUAGAGCAAGGCAGCCUGAUGGCAUGUGGAAGGGUUAGGGUGUCACAAUAUCACCCCUGAGGUUGGAUCUCUCAGUCAAAAACCAAGUCCACUGAUCAAAUGGCAGCAUUUACUUAGCCAUCUUCCCAAACACAUAAUUUGUAGCCUGGUUAUAUUUUCAAUAACGGAAAGAUGCAUUUAAGUGCUUGUUUUAAUACUGAUUUUAAAAAUCUGAUAUCAUAACUUCCUCUUUAAGUAAAUUAAAAAUGGUAUUGGCAGGAAGUCUUUAUCAUUUAAGAUCAGACGUGAUGGAUGGAUCAUUUCAUGGUACGUUAUUAGACAGUUCUGAAAGCUAAAGCUAUGUUUAAGGAAUGAUAUUUUUCCAAUACGCAUGUGCGGAAUGAAGACAUGCACUUUUCGGACUAAUGUAACUAGUGACAUUCAGAAGAUGACCCACAGUCCUAAUUUCAUUUGCACCCUGUGCAGGAAUAAAUAUACUGUUUUAAACGCAGUUUAAGUAGCUUACACGUGGCUUUGGAUUUAAAGUUACUGGAAAAUAAGUUCAGUGUAGGCUGAGGGUGUGUCCCUGGGAUUAACAUCAUUAUGAAAGCCCAUUUCUAAAGUCAAAGUUGUUGGUUAUUCAUUUGCAAAGGUCACCUGUCCCAGGACUCUGUGGCAAGCUGGCCAAUAAAGGCAACGUUACGAAACACGGUUGCAAAUUUCAGUUCACCGUUCAAGGGAAGCUGAACUGAGGCCGCAACCCUUUUUUUUACGUAACUGUCAAAGGUGAAUGUUUAAUAUUUUCAGCUGGAUGCAGAUGAGAAAUGUACGAAAGACUGAAACAUUACCAAGCUGCUAAGAUUUCAGCUGAUGUGCAGAGCGGGCUGCCUACCUGCACGGGGGUUCCAACCCGUGGUACAAAUGGCAGUCUGUAUUGGUUUGGUCUUCUCUGUGUAAAAUAGUAAAUAAAAGUUAACAAGAGAAUUUAGGGAGAGCAAAGAAUAUACCAGCACUGGGAUACUCACUUAUGCACAGAAAGCUACUGCUUUAUCUAGGUGAGAAAUCGCUCUGAGGAGAACAAAGUGAUGGGAUUUCCAAAAGCAUCCAGCUUUGGGCUUUCAGAUAUUGCAGAGAGGCCAGUGACUGCAGGGAAUUUCAGGUGAACCACUGCUGUGGGCUUUCACAAUGGGUCCGUGGACAUGUGUGUACAGGCAAUCUGUGUGCACAGUUCUGCCAACACCAAGGUUUUGCUGUCUUGGGAAGUCCUGCCUAAGUUAGGCCACUGGGCACCAGGCCAUUCGAUCACAUGCCCAAGUCAGCCCCUGUUCUAGUUAGCAGUGAGGUACAUCCUUGAGUGUAGGGCAGUGAAACUUAAACACCUACACACAGAAGAAAAGACCUAGGCCACCUUAAACAUCUGAUUAAAGUUAAUUGAAAUCUGUUCUUAAACGAGGGCCUGCAGGAGGAAUGUAGGUGUGGCUCCGGCACGCCAGAGCCCAAGCACCAGGCCUGCCUGGAGUUAGUCAUGUACGUGAUAAUUGUGUGUGCAACGAGCACCCCGGAAUCAAACUCUCCGGAGAGGUUUAUUGGCUGGAUUAUUUCAUCAUCUCUGCAUUUAUGCCAGCAGGAGAAGAACAAAAUCCCGCUCAGACCGUGUGCACCAAACGUCCUUCAGAAUAAAUACGGACUCGGAGGUGCUUGGCGAAGAAGCUUUACAUCCUGACCUUUAAAAUGUGCAGUCACGGUACUGGGAGACCAAGCGAUGCCAGCGUGAGCUGCAGAAGAGUCAUGAGUCACUUGUGAAAUCUCUGCUGCACAGAAGGAACACGUUAUCCCUUCACUCUGCUGGUAGUGCCAGUCUCUUGCUGUCUUAAGAGACCCAUCUGCUGCUGCCCAAAUUAGACACACAGCUCUCGCCGUCACCAUGCAAAGCAGUCGGUGCUCAGAGCGUGGCAUUCUCCCUAGCCCUGAGCCUUGCUUAGCAUCUUACCUACAGCAAGGGAAACCCCCUCCUGCCAGGCGUGGCUUACAGUCCUGUGCAUGGCCUCAAGAGAGGAAGGGCUGCUGCGCAGCUGACAGAGCUGAUUUCUCAGCACUGGGACUCUGCAGGUCUUUGCCAGCAAGCCCGGCUGUAAGGACAAAAGGAGAGAGCUUCCUUUGGGGCAGAAGUUGCUAUCAUGAGCCGAUGGGUGAAAUGGGGGUCUGGUGAAGAACUGAGCACCUCAGCUGCACGGUUCACUGGCAUUACCUGAGGAAUUUGCUACUACUCAUUUGUCUUCAGCUCUGCACACUUCGGCUGGCUCACGGCACACAACAUUGCUGUUGGGAAAAAAAAGUUCAAGCUUCAGCUGACCUCAGUGUGCCAUUGCUGCUUGUUUGAGUCCCCAGCGUAUGCCUUAGCCUGCAAAUAAUGCAGGAACGCUUACCAGAGCAGAUGUUACACUGCCAUUCAGUUAUUUU